rnacentral:tRNA from 1 species
AGUAAAAUGCCUGAUAUAAAAGGGCUAUCUUGAUAGGAUAAAUAAUGUAUUUUUUACUU